CAUAGUGAAUGCUCAAUAGCAUUUAUUCACAACAAUGAACAUAUUUGCUGGGCAUGGUGGUUCACAUGUGUAAUCCCAGCACUCAGCGGGGCUGAGGCAGGACGAUUGCUGGGAGUUCGAGGCCAGCCUGAACUGCAGAGUGAGACCCUGUCACAAAGCCCAGUAAUUAACAAGCUACAUAUGAUCCUUGUCUGUGGCUUUGAGUGGACCACAGCUGUAACUAUGAGCCAACCUUACACAUGGGAUCCAGGACCUGACUGCCUGCGACCUGUAACUGGGUCUCACUUCCCACCUGUGUGGCUUCAGACAAGGGGCUGGCCCUGUGUCUCAACAUCCUCAUCUGUAAAAUGGCAUUAAAUGGCAAUGCCUGGCACACUGUUUGAGCUCAUAAAUGGGAUUGAAUCCAAGACCUCACAAAUGCCAGGCAAGUGCUCUACCAUUGAGCUAUGUCCCCAGCCCUUCCCUUGUUGUCAGAGGAUCAAGAGCAGGAACAAGUGAGUGAAUGUGAGAGAUUCCUUAUUGUAUGGCAGUGCUAAUAAAUAGUUGUCAUUUGAUUUCCAUGAAGAAAAUAUUGAUACUCAGGAUCUGCCUCUUCCUCAUUCCCUGGACCAACUAAGACAGAAGAUGGAAACAAUUUUUGAAAAGAAACAGAGGUGCUGCAUUCACCCGGAGAAUACAGGUUUCUUCUAAACGAAUAUGCACUGCUUGUGUGGUAUCUAUUUUGUGCAGAUUAGAGAGAUACUUAUCUUUACAAAUUUGCAGUCUAGUGAGGGGAAACAUACAAAGUCUGGUUAUAAUGCAAGCUAAUAUACCAUUGCCUCCUACAACGGGGUAGUACUGAUUAUUUGUGCUGAGUUCCAAGAGGGAGCACAGCACAGGUUUGAGAACUCUGGGGAAGCUUCAAGGAAGAGAACUCAGGCUAUCUUGAAAAAUGAGUGACUUUCUUUUUUUCUGGUACCAGGGAUUGAACUCAGGUCUUUGCGCUUGCCAGGCAGGCGUGGUGCCACUGAGCACUGUUCCUGGUGCAUCUUCAUAGCAGCCAUUUGUAGUGAACACCCAACGCCCCAGAGUGGCUGCCUCCUCACCCAGGACCUGGCCUUGCUCCUCUACCGCGGGACAUGCAUU
ensembl:lncRNA